rnacentral:rRNA from 1 species
CGGGGUUUCUACUUGAAAUUAACUUCGGUUGGUGGAAGGUUUAAACCUAGUGGCGCACGGGUGAGUAACACGUAGGCAAUCUACCCUCAGGAGGGGGACAACUCCGGGAAACCGGGGCUAAUACCGCGUAAGACCACGAGCAGAGAUGCUAGUGGUAAAAGUGGCAACACGCCUGAGGAUGAGCCUGCGUCCUAUCAGGUUGUUGGUGAGGUAACGGCUCACCAAGCCUUAGACGGGUAGCCGGUCUGAGAGGAUGAACGGCCACACUGGAACUGAGACACGGUCCAGACUCCUACGGGAGGCAGCAGUGAGGAAUUUUGCGCAAUGGGCGAAAGCCUGAUGCAGCGACGCCGCGUGAAGGACGAAGGCCUUCGGGUUGUAAACUUCUUUUAUAGGGGAAGAUAAUGACGGUACCCUAUGAAUAAGCCACGGCUAACUCUGUGCCAGCAGCCGCGGUAAGACAGAGGUGGCAAGCGUUGUUCGGAUUUACUGGGCUUAAAGGGCGCGUAGGCGGUAUUAUAAGUCCGGGGUGGAAUCCUGUGGCUCAACCACAGAAUUGCCUCGGAAACUGUAGUACUUGAGUCAGUGAGAGGAGGGCGGAAUUCCUGGUGUAGCAGUGA